AUUCUGCCCAAGCGGGGAAGGAUGAGAAGCUUCGACCAAGCUUCGACUUGAGCGCCAGCGAGAGAGCGUUGCCGCAGGCAACGACCCGAAGGGCGAAGCGCGCAGCGCUGAGUAAUCCUUCCCCCACCACCA
rnacentral:sRNA from 1 species